rnacentral:rRNA from 1 species
UUUGAUCCUGGCUCAGGAUUAACGCUGGCGGUAUGCCUAACACAUGCAAGUCGAACGGAAUACUAAUUAAGAGAAUCUCACACUAGUGAGAGGUUCUCACGAGUAGUAUUUAGUGGCGGACGGGUGAGUAACACGUUGGAACCUGCCCCGAAGUGGGGAAUAACUGCUCGAAAGAGUAGCUAAUACCCCAUAGUAUCCGGUUUAUCCGGAUUAAAGAUUUAUCGCUUCGGGAGGGGCCUGCGUCUGAUUAGCUAGUUGGUGAGGUAAAAGCUCACCAAGGCGACGAUCAGUAGCUGGUUCGAGAGGAUGACCAGCCACACUGGGACUGAGAUACGGCCCAGACUCCUACGGGAGGCAGCAGUGAGGAAUCUUCCACAAUGGGCGCAAGCCUGAUGGAGCAAUACCGCGUGCAGGAGGACGCUUUUCGGAGUGUAAACUGCUUUUGUCGUCGAAGAUUAUGACUGUAGACGAAGAAUAAGGACCGGCUAACUACGUG